rnacentral:rRNA from 1 species
UGUGUAGACGGCAUAUUAAGUCAACUGUUAAAUUCUCCGGCCUAACCGGAGGCAUGCGGUAGAUACUGGUGUGCUAGAGGAUGGAAGAGAGAGGCGGAAUUCUCGGAGUAGCGGUAAAAUGCGUAGAUCUCGAGAGGAACACCAAUGGCGAAGGCAGCCUCUUGGUCCAUAUCUGACGUUGAAACACGAAAGCGUGGGGAGCAAACAGGAUUAGAUACCCUGGUAGUCCACGCUGUAAACGAUGAUCACUAGACGUUAGUUCUGUUUUUACGGAAUUAGUGUCGUAGCUAACGCGUUAAGUGAUCCGCCUGGGAAUUACGGUCGCAAGAUUAAA